CCUGCCCCUUUGCUCUGCAGUCAAUAGAGAGGCAGCAGGAAAGGCAGGAGUUAGCCAGAUGCCCAGCGAACAAGGAGGAUGCCCAGCAGGAAUUGUUUGAAGCCACUGCCCUGAGGACUUGCCACAGCCACUUACCUCUCCUGCACCUUCCCCAGGAUCCAGCUCUGAGCAGUUGCCAUUCGCUCAGAUUCUUCUCUGGAAGAAGUGGUACUUUGCAGCAAAGAAGAAAGAGAAGACAAGUGGCUGGUCCAGGUACCUUUGGUGAAUGCUGAGUACAUGGAGAUGGUGGAUACAGUGGAUACAGAGACCUCACAGAGGAUGGGUGGAAAACAGAGUUCGCCUCUGACUAGGAGAGUCAGAGCUUCUGCUGAUAACAGGAUUCUCUGAUCAUCCAGGCUUAAAACCUGACAGUCAUCCCUGACCCCUCCUGUUCCCUUGCUCCCAGCUCCAGUCACCAAGCACCUCGAUUCUGCUGUAGUAUGAUGCCUCUCACAUCCUUUCCAUUCCGUGCAUGCCUCAUGCAAACACUGCAUUUCAAGUUCUCAUUACCUCAUGUCUGGAUCAUUUCAAGAGCCUCUUAGCUCUUCUCCCAGCCUCCAUGUCUCUAAGUCAUCCUUCCCACAACCACCACAUUAUUCCUAUAGAAACUGCUUCCAUCAUGUGAUUUCACUGUUCAAACCCUGCU